GGUUAAGCGACUAAGCGUACACGGUGGAUGCCCUGGCAGUCAGAGGCGAUGAAGGACGUGCUAAUCUGCGAUAAGCGUCGGUAAGGUGAUAUGAACCGUUAUAACCGGCGAUUUCCGAAUGGGGAAACCCAGUGUGUUUCGACACACUAUCAUUAACUGAAUCCAUAGGUUAAUGAGGCGAACCGGGGGAACUGAAACAUCUAAGUACCCCGAGGAAAAGAAAUCAACCGAGAUUCCCCCAGUAGCGGCGAGCGAACGGGGAGCAGCCCAGAGCCUGAAUCAGUGUGUGUGUUAGUGGAAGCGUCUGGAAAGGCGCGCGAUACAGGGUGACAGCCCCGUACACAAAAAUGCACAUGCUGUGAGCUCGAUGAGUAGGGCGGGACACGUGGUAUCCUGUCUGAAUAUGGGGGGACCAUCCUCCAAGGCUAAAUACUCCUGACUGACCGAUAGUGAACCAGUACCGUGAGGGAAAGGCGAAAAGAACCCCGGCGAGGGGAGUGAAAAAGAACCUGAAACCGUGUACGUACAAGCAGUGGGAGCACGCUUAGGCGUGUGACUGCGUACCUUUUGUAUAAUGGGUCAGCGACUUAUAUUCUGUAGCAAGGUUAACCGAAUAGGGGAGCCGAAGGGAAACCGAGUCUUAACUGGGCGUUAAGUUGCAGGGUAUAGACCCGAAACCCGGUGAUCUAGCCAUGGGCAGGUUGAAGGUUGGGUAACACUAACUGGAGGACCGAACCGACUAAUGUUGAAAAAUUAGCGGAUGACUUGUGGCUGGGGGUGAAAGGCCAAUCAAACCGGGAGAUAGCUGGUUCUCCCCGAAAGCUAUUUAGGUAGCGCCUCGUGAAUUCAUCUCCGGGGGUAGAGCACUGUUUCGGCAAGGGGGUCAUCCCGACUUACCAACCCGAUGCAAACUGCGAAUACCGGAGAAUGUUAUCACGGGAGACACACGGCGGGUGCUAACGUCCGUCGUGAAGAGGGAAACAACCCAGACCGCCAGCUAAGGUCCCAAAGUCAUGGUUAAGUGGGAAACGAUGUGGGAAGGCCCAGACAGCCAGGAUGUUGGCUUAGAAGCAGCCAUCAUUUAAAGAAAGCGUAAUAGCUCACUGGUCGAGUCGGCCUGCGCGGAAGAUGUAACGGGGCUAAACCAUGCACCGAAGCUGCGGCAGCGACACUAUGUGUUGUUGGGUAGGGGAGCGUUCUGUAAGCCUGUGAAGGUGUACUGUGAGGUAUGCUGGAGGUAUCAGAAGUGCGAAUGCUGACAUAAGUAACGAUAAAGCGGGUGAAAAGCCCGCUCGCCGGAAGACCAAGGGUUCCUGUCCAACGUUAAUCGGGGCAGGGUGAGUCGACCCCUAAGGCGAGGCCGAAAGGCGUAGUCGAUGGGAAACAGGUUAAUAUUCCUGUACUUGGUGUUACUGCGAAGGGGGGACGGAGAAGGCUAUGUUGGCCGGGCGACGGUUGUCCCGGUUUAAGCGUGUAGGCUGGUUUUCCAGGCAAAUCCGGAAAAUCAAGGCUGAGGCGUGAUGACGAGGCACUACGGUGCUGAAGCAACAAAUGCCCUGCUUCCAGGAAAAGCCUCUAAGCAUCAGGUAACAUCAAAUCGUACCCCAAACCGACACAGGUGGUCAGGUAGAGAAUACCAAGGCGCUUGAGAGAACUCGGGUGAAGGAACUAGGCAAAAUGGUGCCGUAACUUCGGGAGAAGGCACGCUGAUAUGUAGGUGAAGCGACUUGCUCGUGGAGCUGAAAUCAGUCGAAGAUACCAGCUGGCUGCAACUGUUUAUUAAAAACACAGCACUGUGCAAACACGAAAGUGGACGUAUACGGUGUGACGCCUGCCCGGUGCCGGAAGGUUAAUUGAUGGGGUUAGCGCAAGCGAAGCUCUUGAUCGAAGCCCCGGUAAACGGCGGCCGUAACUAUAACGGUCCUAAGGUAGCGAAAUUCCUUGUCGGGUAAGUUCCGACCUGCACGAAUGGCGUAAUGAUGGCCAGGCUGUCUCCACCCGAGACUCAGUGAAAUUGAACUCGCUGUGAAGAUGCAGUGUACCCGCGGCAAGACGGAAAGACCCCGUGAACCUUUACUAUAGCUUGACACUGAACAUUGAGCCUUGAUGUGUAGGAUAGGUGGGAGGCUUUGAAGUGUGGACGCCAGUCUGCAUGGAGCCGACCUUGAAAUACCACCCUUUAAUGUUUGAUGUUCUAACGUUGACCCGUAAUCCGGGUUGCGGACAGUGUCUGGUGGGUAGUUUGACUGGGGCGGUCUCCUCCUAAAGAGUAACGGAGGAGCACGAAGGUUGGCUAAUCCUGGUCGGACAUCAGGAGGUUAGUGCAAUGGCAUAAGCCAGCUUGACUGCGAGCGUGACGGCGCGAGCAGGUGCGAAAGCAGGUCAUAGUGAUCCGGUGGUUCUGAAUGGAAGGGCCAUCGCUCAACGGAUAAAAGGUACUCCGGGGAUAACAGGCUGAUACCGCCCAAGAGUUCAUAUCGACGGCGGUGUUUGGCACCUCGAUGUCGGCUCAUCACAUCCUGGGGCUGAAGUAGGUCCCAAGGGUAUGGCUGUUCGCCAUUUAAAGUGGUACGCGAGCUGGGUUUAGAACGUCGUGAGACAGUUCGGUCCCUAUCUGCCGUGGGCGCUGGAGAACUGAGGGGGCUGCUCCUAGUACGAGAGGACCGGAGUGGACGCAUCACUGGUGUUCGGGUUGUCAUGCCAAUGGCACUGCCCGGUAGCUAAAUGCGGAAGAGAUAAGUGCUGAAAGCAUCUAAGCACGAAACUUGCCCCGAGAUGAGUUCUCCCUGACCCUUUAAGGGUCCUGAAGGAACGUUGAAGACGACGACGUUGAUAGGCCGGGUGUGUAAGCGCAGCGAUGCGUUGAGCUAACCGGUACUAAUGAACCGUGAGGCUUAACCUU
rnacentral:rRNA from 1 species